rnacentral:rRNA from 1 species
UGCAUGGCCCGUUCUUAGUUGGUGGAGCGAUUUGUCUGGUUUAUUCCGAUAACGAGCGAGACUCUAGCCUGCUAAAUAGUGGCUGGAUUUUUAAGUCCAGUCUACUUCUUAGAGGGAUAAGCGGUGUUUAGCCGCACGAGAUUGAGCGAUAACAGGUCUGUGAUGCCCUUAGAUGUCCGGGGCUGCACGCGCGCUACAAUGGAAGAAUCAGCUGGCCUAUCCAUUGCCGAAAGGCAUUGGUAAACCGUUGAAACUCUUCCGUGACCGGGAUAGGGAAUUGUAAUUAUUUCCCUUGAACGAGGAAUUCCUAGUAAGUGUGAGUCAUCAGCUCACGCUGAUUACGUCCCUGCCAUUUGUACACACCGCCCGUCGCUGUCCGGGACUGAGCUGUCUCGAGAGGACUGCGGACUGCUGUAUCGAGGCCUUCGGGUCCGCGUAUGGCGGGAAAACAGUUCAAUCGCAAUGGCUUGAACCGGGUAAAAGUCGUAACAAGGUAUCUGUAGGUGAACCUGCAGAUGGAUCAUCGUCGAAACCAAACACAUGGUUCCUUUGAUCACGAGAAACCAACAGCUUCAUAUUUGCGACU